rnacentral:rRNA from 1 species
UCAGGGAAGAACAAGUACCGUGCGAAUAGAGCGGUACCUUGACGGUACCUGACGAGGAAGCCCCGGCUAACUACGUGCCAGCAGCCGCGGUAAUACGUAGGGGGCAAGCGUUGUCCGGAAUUAUUGGGCGUAAAGCGCGCGCAGGCGGUUCCUUAAGUCUGAUGUGAAAGCCCACGGCUCAACCGUGGAGGGUCAUUGGAAACUGGGGAACUUGAGGACAGAAGAGGAGAGUGGAAUUCCACGUGUAGCGGUGAAAUGCGUAGAUAUGUGGAGGAACACCAGUGGCGAAGGCGACUCUCUGGUCUGUUUCUGACGCUGAGGUGCGAAAGCGUGGGUAGCAAACAGGAUUAGAUACCCUGGUAGUCCACGCCGGAGACGAUGAGUGCUAGGUGUUAGGGGGCUUCCACCCCUUACUGCUGAAGUUAACGCAUUAAGCACUCCGCCUGGGGAGUACGGCCGCAAGGCUGAAACUCAAAGGAAUUGACGGGGGCCCGCACAAUCGGUGGAGCAUGUGGUUUAAUUCGAGCAACGCGAAAACCUUACCAGGCUUGACAUCCUUGGACCUCCCUAGAGAUAGGGACUUCCCUUCGAGAG